rnacentral:rRNA from 1 species
UACGGAGGGUGCGAGCGUUAAUCGGAAUUACUGGGCGUAAAGCGCACGCAGGCGGUUUGUUAAGCUAGAUGUGAAAGCCCCGGGCUCAACCUGGGAUGGUCAUUUAGAACUGGCAGACUAGAGUCUUGGAGAGGGGAGUGGAAUUCCAGGUGUAGCGGUGAAAUGCGUAGAUAUCUGGAGGAACGUCAGUGGCGAAGGCGACUCCCUGGCCAAAGACUGACGCUCAUGUGCGAAAGUGUGGGUAGCGAACAGG